CGUAGGGUGCGAGCGUUAAUCGGAAUUACUGGGCGUAAAGCGUGCGCAGGCGGUUAUAUAAGACAGAUGUGAAAUCCCCGGGCUCAACCUGGGAACUGCAUUUGUGACUGUAUAGCUAGAGUACGGCAGAGGGGGAUGGAAUUCCGCGUGUAGCAGUGAAAUGCGUAGAUAUGCGGAGGAACACCGAUGGCGAAGGCAAUCCCCUGGGCCUGUACUGACGCUCAUGCACGAAAGCGUGGGGAGCAAACAGGAUUAGAUACCCUGGUAGUCCACGCCCUAAACGAUGUCAACUGGUUGUUGGGUCUUCACUGACUCAGUAACGAAGCUAACGCGUGAAGUUGACCGCCUGGGGAGUACGGCCGCAAGGUUAG
rnacentral:rRNA from 1 species